GCGAGUGAAGCGGCAAAAGCUCAAAUUUGAAAUCUCCUUCGGGCGAGUUGUAAUUUGAAGAAGGCGACUUUGGAAUGGGCCCUUGUCUAUGUUCCUUGGAACAGGACGUCACAGAGGGUGAGAAUCCCGUGCGAUGGGGUGUCCCGUUCCGUGUAAAGUGCUUUCGACGAGUCGAGUUGUUUGGGAAUGCAGCUCUAAGUGGGUGGUAAAUUCCAUCUAAAGCUAAAUAUUGGCGAGAGACCGAUAGCGAACAAGUACAGUGAUGGAAAGAUGAAAAGCACUUUGAAAAGAGAGUGAAAAAGUACGUGAAAUUGUUGAAAGGGAAGGGCUUGAGAUCAGACUUGGUGACUCGUCACUGGGCCAGCAUCGGUUCGGGUGGCAGGACAAGACCGUAGGAAUGUGGCUCUGCUUCGGCGGAGUGUUAUAGCCUGCGGAGAUACUGCCUGCCCGGACCGAGGACUGCGGCAACUAGGAUGCUGGCAUAAUGAUCUUAAGCCGCCC
rnacentral:rRNA from 2 species